UUAGAGUUUGAUCCUGGCUCAGAAUGAACGUUGGCGGCGUGGAUUAGGCAUGCAAGUCGAUGCGAGGCUCCCGCAAGGGAGUAGUAGCAUGGCGCAAGGGGCAGUAAUGCGUCGGCAACCUGCCCCCCGGUCUGGGAUAGACGGCGGAAACGCCGGGCAAUACCGGACGCCGCCCGAAAGAGGCCUCUCUUUCGGGUGAAAGGGCAACCGCCGGGGGAGGGACUGACGGCCUAUCAGCUUGUUGGCGAGGUAACGGCUCACCAAGGCGAUGACGGGUAGGGGGUGUGAGAGCACGACCCCCGCCACUGGCACUGAGACACUGGCCAGACUCCUACGGGAGGCUGCAGUCGAGAAUCUUCGGCAAUGGGCGCAAGCCUGACCGAGCGACGCCGCGUGGCGGAAGAAGGCCUUCGGGUUGUAAACGCCUGUUGGGGGGGAGCAAACCUGAGCGAACCCCUGAGGAAGCACGGGCUAAGUUCGUGCCAGCAGCCGCGGUAAGACGAACCGUGCGAACGUUAUUCGGAAUCAUUGGGCUUAAAGGGCGCGUAGGCGGCGGCUUAAGUGGGAGGGUAAAUCCUGGCGGCUCAACCGCGGGUGUCCCUCCCAUACUGGGUCGCUCUGAGGCAGGUAGGGGCCGGCGGAACUUCCGGUGGAGCGGUGAAAUGUGUUGAGAUCGGAAGGAACGCCUGUGGCGAAAGCGGCCGGCUGGACCUGUUCCUGACGCUGAGGCGCGAAAGCCAGGGGAGCAAACGGGAUUAGAUACCCCGGUAGUCCUGGCCUUAACGAUGGGCACUGGGUAGGGAGCGUGCCGAUGACGCCCCCUGCCGCAGCGAAAGUGUUAAGUGCCCCGCCUGGGGAGUAUGGCCGCAAGGCUGAAACUCAAAGGAAUUGACGGGGGCUCACACCAGCGGUGGAGCAUGUGGCUUAAUUCGAGGCUACGCGAAGAACCUUAUCCCAGACUUGACAUGUGCGGAUUAGCCGCUGGAAACAGCGGUGACGCCCGCAAGGGUGGAACGCACACAGGUGCUGCAUGGCUGUCGUCAGCUCGUGUUGUGAGAUGUCGGGUUAAGUCCCUUAACGAGCGAAACCCUUGUCCUUAGUUACCAGCGGGUUAUGCCGGGCACUCUAAGGAGACUGCCGGUGUCAAGCCGGAGGAAGGCGGGGAUGACGUCAAGUCCUCAUGGCCCUUAUGUCUGGGGCUGCACACGUGCUACAAUGGGGGGUACAAAGGGAAGCUAGCCGGCAACGGCACGCCAAUCCCAAAAAGCCUCCCCCAGUUCGGAUCGCGGGCUGCAACCCGCCCGCGUGAAGUUGGAAUCGCUAGUAAUCGCGGGUCAGCCAUACCGCGGUGAAUGUGUUCCUGAGCCUUGUACACACCGCCCGUCAAGCCACGAAAGCGGGGGGCGUCCGAAGUCGCUGUGCUAACCGCAAGGGGGCAGGCGCCGAAGACGAAACCCGUGAUUGGGACUAAGUCGUAACAAGGUAACC
rnacentral:rRNA from 1 species